rnacentral:lncRNA from 1 species
GUCGCCCGCACGCCUGCCUCGGGCGCGCGGGGCCCGGAUCCCGCGGGUUGGGGUCUUCACCCUUCCUGUGGUCGGUGGGUGGGAGGGUCUGGCCCCGAGCCCGGGAAGGGAGAGCAGAGCUGGCCCCGGGACCCAGCGCGCGGUCGCCCUCUGUCUUGACCCCUGUCUCUGCGAGGCUCUGGGCUCCUGAGUGACUGAAGAGUGGUUUGCAUGAAACCGUGGGCUGUGUCCACACCAAGCUCCUUGCACACAGGCGUGCAAUACCAGUUUUUUUCAGUUAAGAGCUUUCGAUCGUGCAAGUUCAAGGGAGGGACUUCUCAAAGAGACAAAGCCCUUAGGUGUGUUCUGUGCAACGGGUGUGCUCCACUGACCCAUAACAAAGUUGCCAGAAUCGCAGAAGUGCCAUAUACGGACAAGGAAAACGAGAUGAGAGGGAGGGAUAAAGUUGAGAGGCGGAUGUUUGUUAUUAUCCAUUCUGCAUACAAUUUUACCAAACAAGAAAGUGGCAUUGUGGUUUGUGUUCCCAUGUCUUCUGCUAAAUUUCCCCUUCUCCCGGGGUUGCAGGUUAGAACCAAAAGCUCAUGGCUGGGUACGGUGGCUGUAGCCUGUAAUCCCAGCACUUUGGGAGGCCGAGGCGGGCGGAUCACUUGAGCCCAGGACUUUGAGGCCAGCCUGGGCAACAUAGGGA